UGCUGGGCCUCACGCAACGUGGCUUUGCGAAUCCCGUCAGGUCCGGAAGGAAGCAGCGGUAGCAACAUUCUAUGUGUGCUGUGGGAUUACCCAGUGAAC
rnacentral:SRP_RNA from 2 species